rnacentral:rRNA from 1 species
AAAGAGUUAAUUAAUUAAUAAAGUUAAUGUAGAAAAAUUAUUUUUAAUAAUUAAUUUGAAAUGAAAUGUUAUUCGUUUUUAAAUAUAUCUAGUUUUUUUAGAAAAAAAUUUAAUUUUAAAUUUUAUAUAAAAUUUAUAUUUAUUAUAUUAAUAUUUAUUUUUAUUAAAAUUAUAAAAUUUUAUAAUUUAAGGGAUAAGCUUUAAAUUAAAAUUUUAUAAUUAUAAUCAUAUUUUAAUAAUUAAAAUUUUUAUAUUUUAUAUUGAUAAUAAAUUUUAUUUUAUUAUAAAUAAUUUUAAUUAAAAUAAAAUUUAAAUUUAUAAUUUAAUUUUUUAUAAAAAAUUAUUUUUGAAUUUUUUAAAUUUAUUAUAAUGAUAAAAUUAGUAUAUUAAUAAAUAUUAAUUUGAAUAAUAAGUUAUACUAUUAAAUAAUUAAUUUAAAGGAAUUAGGCAAAUUAUUAUAUUCACCUGUUUAACAAAAACAUGUCUUUUUGAAUUUAAUUUAAAGUCUAAUCUGCCCACUGAUAAUAUUAUUAAAGGGCUGCAGUAUUUUUGACUGUACAAAGGUAGCAUAAUCAUUAGUCUCUUAAUUAGUGACUUGUAUGAAUGAUUGGAUGAGAUAUAUUCUGUCUCUAAUAUUAAUUUUUAGAAUUUAAUUUUUUAAUUAAAAAGUUAAAAUAUUUUAAAAAGACGAGAAGACCCUAUAGAGUUUUAUAUUUAUUAAUUUAAAUUAUUUAUUAAAAAUUUAAUAAUUAAAUUUAUAAAUAUUUUAUUGGGGUGAUAAAAAAAUUAAAUUAACUUUUUUUAAUAAUGAACAAGUAUAUUUGCAUUAAUUGAUCCAAUAAUAUUGCCUUAUAAGAAAAAAUUACCUUAGGGAUAACAGCGUAAUUUUUUUUUUUAGUACAAAUAAGAAGAAAAGUUUGCGACCUCGAUGUUGGAUUAAGAUAAAAUUUAAAUGUAAAAGUUUAAAAUUUUUG